GUAGGUAAUAAAACGACAGAGGAAGAAUAAAUCCUGAGGGUGAAUAUACGUCAAGUCAUCGUGAAUUUUCUUCCUUAUUCUGUACCACAGGAAGAACAAAUACUGAGAGUGAAUAUACGUCAAGUCAUCGUGGAUUGUCUUCCUUAUGAAUGAAUUCUGUACCACAGGAAGAAUAAAUCCUGAGGGUGAAUAUACGUCAAGUCAUUGUGGAUUGUCUUCCUUAUUCUGUACCACAGGUUCGUACAAAGUAGAGAUAAUUUAUACUAACGGCUGUCAAGAGUUUAGAAAUUUGCUAGAGUAAACAGCUGAAAUAUAAAAUGUGUUGUAGAGCAUAUGAACAUAAGCGAAAUGGCUAAUGCUAGCCAGCUUUAAUGUACAGUUAAUAGCAUGAAGCAGGCUAAUUGAAAAAUGUGAACUGUGUCUGGAAACAAAUUGUUGAUGUAAUCAUCUUAUGGUAUCUGAAGUGUUGUUAUUUUUUAGAAGAAUAAAUCCUGAGGGUGAAUAUACGUCAAGUCAUCGUGGAUUGUCUUCAUUAUGAAUGAAUGAAUGAAUGAAUGAAUUCUGUACCACAGGUUAGUACAAAGUAGAGAUAAUUUAUAUUUUAACGGCUGUAAAAAGUUUAGAAAGUUGCUAGAGUAAACAGUUGACUGCAAAACGUUUGUUAUAAAAUGUGUUGUAGAGCAUUUGAACGUAAGCGAAAUGGCUAAUGCUAGCUAGCUUUAAUGUACAGUUAAUAGCAUGAAGCAGGCUAAUUGAAAAAUGUGAAAUGUGUCUGGAAAUAAAUUGGUAAUUGUUGAUGUAUACAUCUUAUGAUAUCUGAAGUGU